rnacentral:tRNA from 1 species
ACUUAGUUGGUAGAGCACAAGGCUCUUAACCUUAUGGACGUGGGUUCGAGCCCCAU